rnacentral:rRNA from 1 species
CCUACGGGAGGCAGCAGUAGGGAAUCUUCCACAAUGGGCGAAAGCCUGAUGGAGCAACGCCGCGUGGGUGAAGAAGGUCUUCGGAUCGUAAAACCCUGUUGUUAGAGAAGAACGUGCGCGAGAGUAACUGUUCACGUUUCGACGGUAUCUAACCAGAAAGCCACGGCUAACUACGUGCCAGCAGCCGCGGUAAUACGUAGGUGGCAAGCGUUAUCCGGAUUUAUUGGGCGUAAAGGGAACGCAGGCGGUCUUUUAAGUCUGAUGUGAAAGCCUUCGGCUUAACCGGAGUAGUGCAUUGGAAACUGGGAGACUUGAGUGCAGAAGAGGAGAGUGGAACUCCAUGUGUAGCGGUGAAAUGCGUAGAUAUAUGGAAGAACACCAGUGGCGAAGGCGGCUCUCUGGGCUGUAACUGACGCUGAGGUUCGAAAGCGUGGGUAGCAAACAGGAUUAGAUACCCUGGUAGUC